rnacentral:rRNA from 1 species
GAUGAACGCUAGCUACAGGCUUAACACAUGCAAGUCGAGGGGAAACGACAUCGAAAGCUUGCUUUUGAUGGGCGUCGACCGGCGCACGGGUGAGUAACGCGUAUCCAACCUGCCCAUCACUUGGGGAUAACCUUGCGAAAGUAAGACUAAUACCCAAUGAUAUCUCUAGAAGACAUCUGAAAGAGAUUAAAGAUUUAUCGGUGAUGGAUGGUGAUGCGUCUGAUUAGCUUGUUGGCGGGGUAACGGCCCACCAAGGCAACGAUCAGUAGGGGUUCUGAGAGGAAGGUCCCCCACAUUGGAACUGAGACACGGUCCAAACUCCUACGGGAGGCAGCAGUGAGGAAUAUUGGUCAAUGGGCGAGAGCCUGAACCAGCCAAGUAGCGUGCAGGAAGACGGCCCUAUGGGUUGUAAACUGCUUUUAUAAGGGAAUAAAGUGAGAGUCGUGACUCUUUUUGUAUGUACCUUAUGAAUAAGGACCGGCUAAUUCCGUG